rnacentral:rRNA from 1 species
AUUGAACGCUGGCGGCAUGCUUUACACAUGCAAGUCGAACGGCAGCACGGGGGCAACCCUGGUGGCGAGUGGCGAACGGGUGAGUAAUACAUCGGAACGUACCCAGUAGUGGGGGAUAACGCGUCGAAAGAUGUGCUAAUACCGCAUACGCACUACGGUGCAAAGCGGGGGACCGAAAGGCCUCGCGCUAUUGGAGCGGCCGAUGUCCGAUUAGCUAGUUGGUGGGGUAAAAGCCCACCAAGGCGACGAUCGGUAGCUGGUCUGAGAGGAUGAUCAGCCACACUGGGACUGAGACACGGCCCAGACUCCUACGGGAGGCAGCAGUGGGGAAUUUUGGACAAUGGGCGAAAGCCUGAUCCAGCCAUGCCGCGUGAGUGAAGAAGGCCUUCGGGUUGUAAAGCUCUUUCGGCCGGAACGAAAUCGCUCGAGCCAACACCUUGAGCGGAUGACGGUACCGGAAUAAGAAGCACCGGCUAACUACGUGCCAGCAGCCGCGGUAAUACGUAGGGUGCAGGCGUUAAUCGGAAUUACUGGGCGUAAAGCGUGCGCAGGCGGCCUCUUAAGUCAGAUGUGAAAUCCCCGGGCUCAACUCGGGAACUGCGUUUGAAACUGGGAGGCUAGAGUACGGCAGAGGGGGGUGGAAUUCCACGUGUAGCAGUGAAAUGCGUAGAUAUGUGGAGGAACACCGAUGGCGAAGGCAGCCCCCUGGGCCUGUACUGACGCUCAUGCACGAAAGCGUGGGUAGCAAACAGGAUUAGAUACCCUGGUAGUCCACGCCCUAAACGAUGCUCACUAGGUGUUGGGGAAGCGAUUCCUUGGUACCGUAGCUAACGCGUGAAGUGAGCCGCCUGGGGAGUACGGCCGCAAGGUUA